UGCGGGCGUCAGGUGGGGGCGGCCAGGAGGGUAGCCGCGGGGCUCCUCCAGCCUUCUGGGGCGGGGAGGGUCUCUCACACCCUUGCCCCCGGUGAAGGCUGGGAGCCCGCGGCACCCACCCGGGCGCCUCCCCCGCUGGGCGCACACCCCUCGAAGGAGGGAGGGCGCAGGGCAGCUACCACCCGCGCUUCCCAGCCGGGCUGCCGUCAGCCCUGUCUGUUUGCCAGCAAGCGCCCCCGGGUGUGGAAAGGGGCAUUUUUCACGGAGAUGAGCUGUUUCCUUACAGGGAAACUGAGGGUUCUGCUGCCAGCUAGGGCGAGUACUGGGACUGGAACCCAGGCUGCUUGACGGCCAGGUUCCACGGCAUCUCCCGCUGCCCACUCCAUUGCUGGGUCCGCCCUCUCUGGCUGUCCUCCUGCCCCUGUGGGAGACUGGAUCAGAGCGCGGCACCCAAGGAGCAGGCCCGGGCCUGGCACAGAGCCCCAAAGCCACUGCUUGGCCCCUCCUCCCUCCUGGAGCUGCCCUGGCACUGCCAGAGCAGGAAUCAGGUCUGACGCGGGGUGGGGGGGGUGCCAGGGGGGAGGGGACGACAUGCAGAGGUCAGCCCUUGGGGCUGUGCAGGCCGCCUUCUUGGGUCUGCCGGGUGCUCAGGCCAUCCCACUUCCUCUGGAGCAGAGGGGCAGCUGGCGGUGCUGGGCAUGUGUCCUUAGACUCCAGGGUGGUGAGCUCUGGAAACAGGGGCCCCAGGCAGCCACAUGCUGGGGCGGGUGAUUUACGGAGGUUGAAAUUGAACCCUUAGCUCCUCUCCCCUGAAGGCCGGCGCCGGGGGAGCUGGAAGCAGCCACUGGGAGCAGGCCCCCUCCCCUGUCCUGGCUGCUUGUUCAGCCUGUGGUGUCCAGCCCUUGGGGCCACGGCAAGCCCCCCUUCGGGGUAGCUUCUGCCCGACUCCAGGAGUCCUGUGCCCACAAACCCUGGGAGAGGCCGGCCCAGUAUCCAGCCUGGAUACUGGUGAGAUUUCAUUCACCAGAGGUUCAUUCAGGAAUUUUCUGUCUCAAUUCUACUGUAAUAAAAUGCGAAUUCCUCUGAAAGCAUCACGGGGCUCAGAAGGGGUCCUGCCGUUUUCAGACAUCGAAAGUGGCGCUGCGGUUCCCCCAGCAGGUUUGUGACUCUCGAUGAAUUCACGAGGGACCCCCUCCGGGAAAAGCAGGCCACCCGAUCCAGAUCAAGCAGCCACAACUGCAUUUGUCUCUCUCCCCAGCGCCCCAGGCUGGACCACGCAGCUUUUCCACCCGAUCUGGGCAUCUCCUUCCCAUAACCGUCUCCAUCAGCAGCGAAUGGGGAUUUCCCGCCCGAAAGGCCAUCCCGGAAGCAACGGGUUUCAGAAACACGAGGAUCCCAAAGACUUCGUAUGAGUCCAUCCGCAUGAAACGUUCAGAAGAGGCAAGUGUGUAGAGCUGUGGAGACCGAAAGAAGA